AUGAACGCUGGCGGCGUGCCUAAUACAUGCAAGUCGCGCGAACGGACGAGAAGCUUGCUUCUCUGAUGUUAGCGGCGGACGGGUGAGUAACACGUGGAUAACCUACCUAUAAGACUGGGAUAACUUCGGGAAACCGGAGCUAAUACCGGAUAAUAUUUUGAACCGCAUGGUUCAAAAGUAAAAGACGGUCUUGCUGUCACUUAUAGAUGGAUCCGCGCUGCAUUAGCUAGUUGGUAAGGUAACGGCUUACCAAGGCAACGAUGCAUAGCCGACCUGAGAGGGUGAUCGGCCACACUGGAACUGAGACACGGUCCAGACUCCUACGGGAGGCAGCAGUAGGGAAUCUUCCGCAAUGGGCGAAAGCCUGACGGAGCAACGCCGCGUGAGUGAUGAAGGUCUUCGGAUCGUAAAACUCUGUUAUUAGGGAAGAACAUUUGUGUAAGUAACUGUGCACAUCUUGACGGUACCUAAUCAGAAAGCCACGGCUAACUACGUG
rnacentral:rRNA from 1 species